UACGGAGGGUGCAAGCGUUACUCGGAAUCAUUGGGCGUAAAGCGCACGUAGGCGGUCUCUUAAGUCCGGCGUGAAAUCCUGGGGCUCAACCUCAGAUGGCCGUUGGAAACUGAGAGACUUGAGAAUGGAAGGGGUCAGUGGAAUUCCUGGUGUAGGAGUGAAAUCCGUAGAGAUCAGGAGGAACACCGGUGGCGAAGGCGACUGACUGGGCCAUUUCUGACGCUAAUGUGCAAAAGCGUGGGGAGCAAACAGG
rnacentral:rRNA from 1 species